GAUGAAGAACGCAGUGAAAUGCGAUACGUAAUGUGAAUUGCAGAUUUCAGUGAAUCAUCGAAUCUUUGAACGCACAUUGCGCCCGCUAGUAUUCUGGCGGGCAUGCCUGUUCGAGCGUCAUUUCAACCAUCAAGCCCUGUGCUUGUGUUGGAGCCCUGCGGCUGCCGCAGGCUCCCAAACCCAGUGGCGGGCUCGUCGUCGUACCGAGUGCAGUAAACAUACCACGCUCAGGGCACGCGACGGGUGACCGGCCGUAAAACCCCCCCCCUUCUCAAGGUUGACCUCGGAUCAGGUAGGAAUACCCGCUGAACUUAAGCAUAUCAAUAAGCGGAGGA
rnacentral:misc_RNA from 1 species